AUAUACAUAUUGUUACAUGCGUCGACUAAUUUCAUCAUAAAAAAUAUUAAAAAA
rnacentral:sRNA from 1 species